CAGUCGAGCGAGCUGAACCAGCAGAUUCCUUCGGUGAUGACGCUGGGAACGCGAGCGGCGGAUGGGUGAGUAACACGUGGGUAACCUGCCCUAAAGUCUGGGAUACCACUUGGAAACAGGUGCUAAUACCGGAUAACAACAAUAGCUGCAUGGCUAUUGCUUAAAAGGCGGCGAAAGCUGUCGCUAAAGGAUGGACCCGCGGUGCAUUAGCUAGUUGGUAAGGUAAUGGCUUACCAAGGCGACGAUGCAUAGCCGAGUUGAGAGACUGAUCGGCCACAUUGGGACUGAGACACGGCCCAAACUCCUACGGGAGGCAGCAGUAGGGAAUCUUCCACAAUGGGCGAAAGCCUGAUGGAGCAACGCCGCGUGAGUGAAGAAGGUUUUCGGAUCGUAAAGCUCUGUUGUUGGUGAAGAAGGAUAGAGGUAGUAACUGGCCCCUAUUUGACGGUAAUCAACCAGAAAGUCACGGCUAACUACGUGCCAGCAGCCGCGGUAAUACGUAGGUGGCAAGCGUUGUCCGGAUUUAUUGGGCGUAAAGCGAGCGCAGGCGGAAAGAUAAGUCUGAUGUGAAAGCCCCCGGCUUGACCGAGGAAUUGCAUCGGAAACUGUGUUUCUUGAGUGCAGAAGAGGAGAGUGGAACUCCAUGUGUAGCGGUGGAAUGCGUAGAUAUAUGGAAGAACACCAGUGGCGAAGGCGGCUCUCUGGUCUGUAACUGACGC
rnacentral:rRNA from 1 species